GACGAACGCUGGCGGCGUGCCUAACACAUGCAAGUCGAACGGGGUAAUUUCUUCGGAGAUUACUUAGUGGCGAACGGGUGAGUAACGCGUGAGAAACCUGCCUUUCAGUGGGGGACAACAGUUGGAAACGACUGCUAAUACCGCAUAAUGUUAUUUGGGGGCAUCCCUGAAUAACCAAAGCUUUAUGUGCUGAAAGAUGGUCUCGCGUCUGAUUAGCUAGAUGGCGGGGUAACGGCCCACCAUGGCGACGAUCAGUAGCCGGUCUGAGAGGAUGGACGGCCACAUUGGGACUGAGAUACGGCCCAGACUCCUACGGGAGGCAGCAGUGGGGAAUAUUGGGCAAUGGGGGAAACCCUGACCCAGCAACGCCGCGUGAAGGAAGAAGGCCUUCGGGUUGUAAACUUCUUUUACCAGGGACGAAGAACGUGACGGUACCUGGAGAAAAAGCAACGGCUAACUACGUGCCAGCCGCCGCAGUAAAAC
rnacentral:rRNA from 1 species